UUAUCAGAGAUUUUUGUUCUAUUCUUUUCAGUUCCUUGGUGAAAAGAGACUUUUAAGAUUCAUCUCUUGCUGUAAGGGAAUUGGAAGGUAGUGUGCUGAGCAGUACUGCAAAUUCAGUGAAUAUUUUCUUUGAAAAACAGCCAAAACAACACAAACCCCCCAAACACCACCACCA